AAAACAAAAAGUAUUCGUUUCGAUGAAUAAAUUAACAUAAUAUUAUUCGGUACCUAUACACCUAUUAUGAUACCAUGUAUACUGUUUAAUGAUUUUUGCACCGUAAUUAUUACAGUAUUAUUAUGUCAUUAUUGAUAAUCUCAUCAAUGGUCGUACCAAAGUAAAAAUCGCACCUGAUCGAACUUGUUACGUUAUACGUUAAUA